GCAGGUGCUGAUUUUUAGUUAAAAGUGAAACAGGUGAGAAUCCUGUACGAUCUCGUCACUGUAUUUGGGGAGUGGUGAUCUAGGUGCAGAUCACAGCCACUGGGAAACCGGGAAGGCAGAUUACUACUGUGAACCAUAAGCCAGGAAACCUGCCUGUUGUC
rnacentral:ncRNA from 1 species